GAUGAACGCUAGCGACAGGCUUAACACAUGCAAGUCGAGGGGCAGCGGUGGUGAAGGCUUGCCUUCACCAGCCGGCGACCGGCGCACGGGUGAGUAACACGUAUGCAACCUGCCUGCCACAGCCGGAUAAUCGGGAGAAAUUCCGUCUAAUACGGCAUAAUGCAUCGACGGGACAUCCUGUUGGUGCCAAAGGUUAAUUCCGGUGGCGGAUGGGCAUGCGUCGCAUUAGUUAGUUGGCGGUGUAACGGACCACCAAGACGACGAUGCGUAGGGGUUCUGAGAGGAAGGUCCGCCACACUGGUACUGAGACACGGACCAG
rnacentral:rRNA from 1 species